UCGCCAUCAAUCCAUUGCUUCCUCCGCCUAUAAAAGGGAGACCCAGAUACGUUAUUCUAUAAGCUCAUUUCUUAUCUCAAAACUCUGCUAAAUUCUCCGUUCGAGCACUCCAUUCUUGUUGAGACAGAGAACUGACUUGAGCGUCAGAGGGUCUUGCCGGAGCAACCCCACCUCCGGUUUAGACUUCUUUUGCAGGUCCCGACGGCGACCGCGGCUUCCCC
rnacentral:lncRNA from 1 species